AAACAAAUGGCCCGCAAAAACAAUCACUAAAUUCCAAAUUAAGCUCCAAAGUUUUCCCAGCAAAAUAUUCCCUCACUCUACCGCAAAUUCACUCUCCAAAAAUAUUGAAAAAAAAUUCUCUCUGCCUUUACUCAAUUCUCUUCGACUAAAGAUCUAGGCUUUCUUAAUGGUCUCUUAUCGCUAGCCACAAAACCAUACAUCUCUAGAAUCACCUUCUCUCUUUUGUAAUCUAUCUCAACAUUAUCAGAUUUUCUUUUAUGCUUAUGAUGGGAUUGUUAUCAAUGAGUUAUUUUUGGAAAAGAGUUAUCUAUGAAAGGAAGCUUAUACAAUUUUUUUCUGAACAAAUAAAUUGUGAGAAACAAUGCCUAAAAGGUAAAAGGACAUUAAAACUAUAUCUAUGGCUGGGAGAAAGAGUUGCAGCUUGUACACGCCUUUUUGUAGCCUCAGCCUAUUCGCCAAGUGUCAUUCGUACAAAAGGAGGUCUUAAAGUAUGAUCACAUGGAAGAGCUUUAAUCUAUGAAGAGUUGCAGAAUUGAGGGCUAAUCAUUAGGAAAUUUGUUAUGCGGGUAUUUGAUGGGAAUACUUAAAAGCAUCAACAAUGUAGUUUGAACACGUAACAUUAUAUUUUAGUUGUUAUUUAUAUAAAGAGUGAUACUUGAUCUGGUUUUUCUAGAUAUAAUAAAAUAUAUUAUGUUUCUUUUAGAAAAUUUAAUAA